ensembl:lncRNA
GAAUGCCAAAAUUGCAGGGAUACAGUGCCCAGGAAUCAGGCUUUUGAAGAUUGCUUUUCUUAAAAGCAGUAAUCAGUACCCUGAGAUCUCUGCUUGUAAAUGAGCUCAGAACUGUCUCAAAACUAUGAACUCACCAGAAUAGCCAUAUGCUAAUGGGAGCUGGAAGCAAAAGGUGAAGAGGAAAGAGGAGAAGUAGAGUCAGACAUUGUCAAGCUGUGGGACUGGAGCAGGAUUGGACAGUCAGAGCGAGUGAGCAGCUGGAGGAGAGGAACACAGUUACAUCAGGAGUGGCUUGAAAGUGUGGAGUCUUGAAACUAAAGACAAAAAGAAGUCAUCACCAGACUUUGAGCAGAGGAGAAGAGAUGAUCCAUAUUUGCUCAAGUCACUUGUGGUAGUGUAUGGACAGCAAAUUAGAAGGGG